AUUGAACGCUGGAGGCAGGCCUAACACAUGCAAGUCGAGCGGAGCGGCGGACGGGUGAGUAAUGCCUAGGAAUCUGCCUGGUAGUGGGGGAUAACGUCCGGCAACGGGCGCUAAUACCGCAUACUAUCAGAUGAGCCUAGGUCGGAUUAGCUAGUUGGUGGGGUAACGGCUCACCUAGGCGACGAUCCCUAGCUGGUCUGAGAGGAUGGACAGCCACACUGGAACUGAGACACGCUCCAGCCGCCGACGGGAGGCGGCAGUGGGGAAUAUUGCACAAUGGGCGCAAGCCUGAUGCAGCCAGGCCGCGUGUGUGAAGAAGGCCUUCGGGUUGUAAAGCACUUUCAGCGGGGAGGCGUUACCCGCAGAAGAAGCACCGGCUAACUCCGUGCCAGCAGCCGCGGUAAUAC
rnacentral:rRNA from 1 species